rnacentral:rRNA from 1 species
GAUGAACGCCGGCGGUGUGCCUAAUACAUGCAAGUCGAACGCGUUGGCCCAAUUGAUUGAUGGUGCUUGCACCUGAUUGAUUUUGGUCGCCAACGAGUGGCGGACGGGUGAGUAACACGUAGGUAACCUGCCCAGAAGCGGGGGACAACAUUUGGAAACAGAUGCUAAUACCGCAUAACAACGUUGUUCGCAUGAGCAACGCUUAAAAGAUGGCUUCUCGCUAUCACUUCUGGAUGGACCUGCGGUGCAUUAGCUUGUUGGUGGGGUAACGGCCUACCAAGGCGAUGAUGCAUAGCCGAGUUGAGAGACUGAUCGGCCACAAUGGGACUGAGACACGGCCCAUACUCCUACGGGAGGCAGCAGUAGGGAAUCUUCCACAAUGGGCGCAAGCCUGAUGGAGCAACACCGCGUGAGUGAAGAAGGGUUUCGGCUCGUAAAGCUCUGUUGUUAAAGAAGAACACGUAUGAGAGUAACUGUUUCAUACGUUGACGGUAUUUAACCAGAAAGUCACGGCUAACUACGUGCCAGCAGCCGCGGUAAUACGUAGGUGGCAAGCGUUAUCCGGAUUUAUUGGGCGUAAAGAGAGUGCAGGCGGUUUUCUAAGUCUGAUGUGAAAGCCUUCGGCUUAACCGGAGAAGUGCAUCGGAAACUGGGAUAACUUGAGGUGCAGAAUAUGGGAGUGGAACUCCUUGUGUAUCGGUGGGAAUGCUGUGAGUUUGGAAAAGCACCAUUGUUGAAUGUGUGCUACCUGGGUCUGCGACUGACGCUGAGACUCGUGACUGGGUGUAGCGAAGAUUAUUAUGAUACUGCUUUGUGUGCUGAGUGUGAAUUCCUGAUGUGUGUGUCAAUGUUAUGGAACCGGUGUCUGCGCAAAGAAAAGAACCAGAAACCUGAUGUGAUUGCCGUGUGCUAGUGGGUGAUGUUGUGUGUUGUGUGUUCUGAUUGGCUGAUGGGUGGUGUGUGGUGUGUUGUGUGCGUGCUGUGCU